rnacentral:misc_RNA from 1 species
UAAGAAAAUAAGAAAUUAAAGCAAUAACUAUCAAUUCAAGCAAAUAAAAAAUUAAAAUAUUAAGCAUUUGAUUUUUUUCAAUAGUUUGCAUAAUUAUACAUCAUGCUAUAUUGAUAUAUUUAAAAAGUAUUUAUAAUACUAAUAAUAAUGCAACAUAGAGAAGAAAAUUAUAAAUUAAUUAAUUAAAGCAAUAAUUCUCAAUUCUCC